rnacentral:rRNA from 1 species
UUGAGCGCUGAAGGNUGGUACUUGUACCGACUGGAUGAGCAGCGAACGGGUGAGUAACGCGUGGGGAAUCUGCCUUUGAGCGGGGGACAACAUUUGGAAACGAAUGCUAAUACCGCAUAAAAACUUUAAACACAAGUUUUAAGUUUGAAAGAUGCAAUUGCAUCACUCAAAGAUGAUCCCGCGUUGUAUUAGCUAGUUGGUGAGGUAAAGGCUCACCAAGGCGAUGAUACAUAGCCGACCUGAGAGGGUGAUCGGCCACAUUGGGACUGAGACACGGCCCAAACUCCUACGGGAGGCAGCAGUAGGGAAUCUUCGGCAAUGGACGAAAGUCUGACCGAGCAACGCCGCGUGAGUGAAGAAGGUUUUCGGAUCGUAAAACUCUGUUGGUAGAGAAGAACGUUGGUGAGAGUGGAAAGCUCAUCAAGUGACGGUAACUACCCAGAAAGGGACGGCUAACUACGUGCCAGCAGCCGCGGUAAUACGUAGGUCCCGAGCGUUGUCCGGAUUUAUUGGGCGUAAAGCGAGCGCAGGUGGUUUAUUAAGUCUGGUGUAAAAGGCAGUGGCUCAACCAUUGUAUGCAUUGGAAACUGGUAGACUUGAGUGCA